rnacentral:rRNA from 1 species
UUUUAGAUAAAUUCUGCUCAAUGCCAAAUUUAAAUAGCUGCAGUAAGUUAACUGUACUAAGGUAGCAUAAUAAAUUGCUUUAUAAUUGAAAGCUUGAAUGAAGGAAACAAUGAAAAACAAACUUUUUAAACUAAAAAAGUAAAAAUUAAUAUUUAAGUGAAAAAUCUUAAAUUAAAUCAAAAGACAAGAAGACCCUUUAGAACUUUACAAGUCGCAUCAUCUUAAAUGAGUUGUAUUGUUAAAUUGGGGAGAUUUUUAAAUAAAUAAAUCUUUAAAUAUACCGAAAUGAAAUACCUCAAAUUAAAUUAUCCACAGAUGAAAUAAAACAAGUUACCUAAGGGAUAACAGCGCAAAAUUUUUGAGAAGUUCCCAUUCACAAAAUAAAUUGCGACCUCGAUGUUGGAUUAAGAA